ensembl:lncRNA
GAACAGACCAAGAACAGAUCAAUCAGUUCAAGCAGAAAAUCAACAUUAAGCUAGCUCAAGGCUCUGGUCAAUAUACAAAUACCAGCAUUGUUAAGCAUUUGUGAAGAUGUCAACCCAAAACCCUAUUAAACCAGCCAGGUCCUAGGAGAGGAAUCAGCAGGAAGCCGGAACUGAGUUCCUUGCAACGCCCUACCCAGGCCUGGUUGUACUGUGUAGAUGGAGGCCUACUCUGUGAGCCUGACUCCUUCCACAUGCCCAGAAUUCCUCCUAUGAAGAUCUUUAAAGAGGGGACUGGACAGAUGUUUUCUUUCAUCUUCACUAGUUAAGAUAAAUCUGUGGAAUGCAGAAAAUUUAUAGGGUUCUUUGUUUGUUUGUUUGUAUUUUUAGGCAAACAAAAUGAAUUUUAAAUGUUUCUUCUAGUCCCAAGAACUGCCUGAGAUCAAAUUAUGUUGAUUUUUAAGCAAAAAUGACUUCUAACCUAUGAGAUGUGAUUACAAACCUUGCCCUUGAUUUAUAUUCCGAGAAACUGCACUAAGAAGUUGUAUUCCAUAAAAGCCUGGGUCACAGUAUUUUGCAACCUGUUAGGCAACUAUUUAAAAAACUAUUACACACACUAUUAUGUGUGUGUAAUAACUGAUUGGUACAUGAUUAAUUGAAUUCUGUCUCUAAGUAAGAGGUCACAAAUUACUGGAGGCAGGUCAGUUCAUUUUGUUCCAAGAAUCUAUAAAUUCAGAUGAGUUCCUCAGUGAAGCAGGUAAAGCUGCAUGGUUCACUAGUGUUUUGAAAAAGGGAGAAGUUUUCCUGGUAAUUUGAAAAUCAAUGUAGAUUCCUAAAAUUGAAGCUGGAGAAGUAGAAGGCAAAGAGCUGUUAACUUAAAAACAAUCAAGAAGAAAGUACUAUAUUGUGACGUAGGGUCCAGAAAUGAAGAGACUGUAAUAAUCGUGGAAGACAGCACAGGAGGUUUGGUACCUGUCACAUGACUAUUUACGACUAACUGCCAAGCCAGCGAUGGCGGUGAUAAGCGCUCAUGAGGCUGAGGAGGCCACGGGCCAGAGCAGCCCAGUAGCAAUGCCUGACCACAGGGACACUGGUGGGGC